CGAGGGUAACAAAUCCGUAGAUAUCCAUGUUACAGGUAGCGAACACCUAUUGGAUUAGAAGCUGUUAUCCAAACCCAUUUACAACUGAACACUGUAUGUAUUGUGUGCUUUGUGCACCGUAUUGCGUGCUUGCACUUGACAAACCACAUUUACAACUUUAACACCUGCACAUUUUUGUGCUUUCCACAAUUUUUUUUACAGUAGUUCUAGGAGAUGGUCCUUAUUGGCACAUGGGCCCUAGAGUAUCCUGAGAGUUUCAAUUGAUAUUCCUUAUAGUGUCAGAGCACAUCACGAGAAUGACAGUUUCCACUCACCUUUCCCAACCACACUUAAGAUUGUGUCGGUCAAAAAGCAAGCAUGUAUGUGCUCAAGUUUAUAGAAAUUCUGUGGAGCAGUUUUCCUCGAUGAUUGGAGCAAAGUGAAAUCCAGUAUCCAACACUCUGAGCGUCCAGAGUGUGAGUGAGGAGGACUUUGGUCACUACCAGUGUGAGAUGAAGAAUGCCGCUGCUAGGAAAGUGGUCCUCAUUGUCUACAGAGCUCUCUAUAGAGAUGAGAUAAAUAAUGCAGCGACUGAACUGGCUCAUGAAGUCCUCCACACAACCACUGAGUCAGUUCGUCAGAAUACAGCAACUGCAGCUCAGUUGAGUCAAGAGUGCUCGGAAGAAGCUCUUCUCCAGUUGUCUACCCCGAGAUUGCUGGAUACAACGAAUACAAGUACAGGCUAGGCCUAAGUCAUGCUAUAGGUUAGACGAAAUCGAUAACGAUCCGAGAAACUUCAACAGUACCCAAGCCAAAUUUCACACAGCUCUACUGAAAUUGAAGAAUUGAUUUGAACAAUCCAUCGAAUUUGACAGCCACUUAUGGUCGACUAGUGGAAAUGAUGGUAGCAUUC